GGAUGAAUGGCUGAGUGGUUUAAAGUAUUAAUUUUGAAAAUUAACAUAAUAAUAAUUAUCGUAGGUUCAAAUCCUACUUCAUCCA
rnacentral:tRNA from 1 species